GGGGCUGUUGCUCAGUGAUAGUGCUUGCCUAGCAUGUGUGAGGCCCUGGGUUCUACUCCCAGCAUCCCCC
rfam:Ictidomys tridecemlineatus contig047846, whole genome shotgun sequence.